UUGUUUCAAAUUGCUUUACGUUGGGUGGCUUGGUUGCAGCCAGCUGCUAGGGUUGUUUAGAGACUUGGUAUAAACUUUUAGUUUGUGAUGAGAGUUCUGCCCCUUGCAUAUCUCUGUUCUGUUUUCUCCUUUUCUCAUGCUGGUCUGAAUGUGGGCCUUGGUCAUCCUGGGAAGGAUGGAUAUGACAUUGGUUUGUGUUUCCAAAUCCGCCCAAGAGCCUGUCCAUUUCUCAUCUCUGCAGAAGGGAACUUUAGUAACUGUAGAGUGAGAUGUUUGGUUUGGAGGUG
rnacentral:lncRNA from 1 species